AACACUUCCUGCCUCUUCUAGCUUCUGGGGGUUCCAGGCAGCCCUGAGCUUGUGGCUGCCUCUGUCUGUACCUGGCUUCUCCUCUGUGUCUUUCAUUACAGGGAAACUUAGUGGAUUUGGGGCCGAUCCUCAACCGUGAGGAUCCGGUCCCUCACACCGAGCUCAUAACACCCUGGCAAUUUCCUGAAGGAGCAUCUUUUGUUAUUCAUAAGAAACCUGAGCACACCUGAGUUCUUGCUAAUGAGGUUUAUGCUAAUGAAGUGGGGCUGGUUGCCGGAGGAACCAAGCACGUGAUUAGAGGGUUUAGCGCUGCCCCCUACCCCAGCGCUGGCGGAGGGACUGGGGUGAGAGUGAGUCAGGGAGGGACAAGGCUUUCAUCAGUCAUCCCUGGUGGACCCUCCCAAGAAAACCCUAAGGGGUUCCAAGAGCCUCUCAUUGGGGAAGUGUCCACAGUUGGGAGGGUGACGCACCCCGAACUCCACAGAGACUGAAGCUCCUGGAUCCCACCUCUCGCACACCUGGCCCCUACUUCCUCAUCUGCCUGUACAUCCCUUUAGGAUCCACAGCAUCAAGAACAAGUAACCACCUGGAUAAGGGAAGGCUCUGGGACCCAUUCAGGAUGUUAUUGAUGUUUUUGGAGAUGACGUCCAAGAGGAAGAGUUGGCAUUGCAUGGAGAGAUAAUGAGCUGUGUGGUGAUCAGCCCAGGCCUCAGAAGAAGUAGAUAAGGGGCAACCUCAGAGCCCUUCACCCACUGGACGCCACUGAGGACAGGAUCUCUGGAACAGGCACUACACCCCAUUGUGAUGUCCAGACGCCAGCUGGGUUUCCAGGGGCAACGGGGCUGCCCCAGUUCUGAGCCCAGGGGACCCCAGGAGGCAGAUGUGCUCUGGGGCGUGAGAUCCAUUAAGUCCGCCUCAGGAAAGCUGCAUCCUCCACACUGAAACCACACCGGCAUUAGGACACUCCACCCAGCCUCUGGAAACACCCACCACUGCCUUCUUCUGGAAAGCACCUGCUCUAGUCCCUGGAGACUCGUAUUAGGGCAGAAUCCAACAGAAGAAUUCCGUGGUCAGCAGAGAAAGCCCCAUCUCAGCAUCCAUGGAGCAGGUGCAUCUGAGCACAAGCCUGGUGGACCAGCCGACAAGCCUAAGACAAGGGCACAGGAAGCCUGGGUAUUGCCCACCAACACUCCAUCCAGUUCUCCCAUGGCCUGCCUUGAGGUCUACCAAGCAUUUAAAAGUCACCUUACCUGCCUGGGUAAGUUUAACCAUAUGUACCAAUAUUUCAUCAAGCGAUGCAUACAAAAGGGAGAGAGAACCCAGCUGAAGGGUGGCUACAGUGACAGGCAUAGGCUCUGGGGAUGAUCAGUUAAGACCACAAGCGGAGACACAACUGAGGCACAGUUGUGACACUGAGACACAGGACCACAAACUGAUUCAGCUCUGAUGACGGUGGUGGUCGUCUGAGACAGCACUGCCAUCAUCCUUCCGUGAACAUGAUGCUGACGUACUUCUGAUGGCUCCCUCAAUGCGAAGUCUGACUUGAAAUUUGGGAAAGGAACCUGCAGUAAAGGGGAUCCAGUGCCACUGGGCCUUCACUUCUUAGAGGGUAAUCACACCUCAGUUAUGUCCCCUUGUCAGAACAGCACAGACUCUUGGGAGUUCCCUGGUGGCUCAGAGGAUUAAGGAUCUGGCAUUGUCUGGCUGCUGUG